rnacentral:lncRNA from 1 species
GCAUGAGGUCACUACCCUGCCCACCACCAUGGGUGCAGGUGUCAAUUUUUGGUUUGAAGACAAGGAUGCUAAUAGUUUGGAGGGCGACACAUUCAAACACUAGAACUUUGAUCACUUGCAUGCCAUAGUUUUUUGUUCGCCUUGAAUCAGUUAAAAUAAUGUUGAACCAAGAGUUACAAAAUGGUUGAUCAAUCAUAUUUCGAUGUUUUCC